ensembl:snRNA U6 U6 spliceosomal RNA
GUGCUUACUUCAGCAGCACAUAUACUGAAGUUGGAACAGUACAGGGAAGAUUAGCAUGGCCUCUGAGCAAGACCUGAAAAUUAGUGAGGCAUACUGUAUUAAA